rnacentral:rRNA from 1 species
AGUGAACGCUGGCGGUAGGCCUAACACAUGCAAGUCGAACGGCAGCACAGUAAGAGCUUGCUCUUACGGGUGGCGAGUGGCGGACGGGUGAGGAAUACAUCGGAAUCUACUUUUUCGUGGGGGAUAACGUAGGGAAACUUACGCUAAUACCGCAUACGACCUACGGGUGAAAGCAGGGGAUCUUCGGACCUUGCGCGAUUGAAUGAGCCGAUGUCGGAUUAGCUAGUUGGCGGGGUAAAGGCCCACCAAGGCGACGAUCCGUAGCUGGUCUGAGAGGAUGAGCAGCCACGCUGGAGGUGAGACAAGGACCAGGCGCCUACGUGAAGCAGCAGUGGGGAAUAUUGGACAAUGGGCGCAAGGCUGAUCCAGCCAUACCGCGUGGGUGAAGAAGGCCUUCGGGUUGUAAAGCCGUUUUGUUGGGAAAGAAAAACAGCAGGUUAAUACCCCGCUGUUCUGACGGUACCCAAAGAAUAAGCACCGGCUAACUUCGU